CAAUGUCUGCAGCUAAACUUAUCCCUAGGUCCCAGGACAGGGGACCCAGGGCCCAUGAGCAGCAGGACUUGUUGUGGCAGCCAUCUGGGCCAGUUCCUGCCAUGACAGGACAGGGACUGAAUUUGACUUGACUGCA
rnacentral:snoRNA from 1 species